GGCUUGGUGGUCUAGUGGUAUGAUUCUUGCUUAGGGUAUUGUGUGUUUGUGUGGUUCUCCUUCACUCUCGCUCAUCACGAAGAUGCAAGAGGUCCCGGGUUCGAUCCCCGGCCAAGCCC